AUUGAACGCUGGCGGCAUGCUUUACACAUGCAAGUCGAACGGUAACAGUGAGCUUGCUCCGCUGACGAGUGGCGAACGGGUGAGUAAUGCAUCGGAACGUGCCGAGUAGUGGGGGAUAACGCAUCGAAAGGUGUGCUAAUACCGCAUACGUACUGAGGUAGAAAGUGGGGGACCUUCGGGCCUCACGCUAUUCGAGCGGCCGACGUCUGAUUAGCUAGUUGGUGAGGUAAAGGCUCACCAAGGCGACGAUCAGUAGCGGGUCUGAGAGGAUGAUCGGCCACACUGGGACUGAGACACGGCCCAGACUCCUACGGGAGGCAGCAGUGGGGAAUUUUGGACAAGGGGCGCAAGCCUGAUCCAGCCAUGCCGCGUGUCUGAAGAAGGCCUUCGGGUUGUAAAGGACUUUUGUCCGGGAGCAAAUGCCUGGUGUUAAUAGCACUGGGAGCUGAGAGUACCGGAAGAAUAAGCACCGGCUAACUACGUGCCAGCAGCCGCCGCCGUAA
rnacentral:rRNA from 1 species